AAUCAGAAUGUCGCGGUGAAUACGUUCCCGGGUCUUGUACACACCGCCCGUCACACCAUGGGAGUUGGAAAUGCCCGAAGUCAGUGACCCAACCGCAAGGAGGGAGCUGCCGAAGGUGGAGCCGAUGACUGGGGUGAAGUCGUAACAAGGUAGCCGUAUCGGAAGGUGCGGCUGGAUCACCUCCUUU
rnacentral:rRNA from 1 species